rnacentral:sRNA from 1 species
GCGACAGUGCAGAAUGAUGAAGGGUUCUCAAGUUUGUCCAUAGAACAGUACAACACCAGCAGCUCUCUCACUAAUUUGAUUCAACGCUAUAGUUCUCUAGAGGGACCACUUCUAGCGGAGUAGGAGAGUAAUUCAUUUCCACCUCCACUCAAUCUACGGAUUUC